rnacentral:rRNA from 1 species
UACGUAGGGUGCAAGCGUUAAUCGGAAUUACUGGGCGUAAAGCGUGCGCAGGCGGUUUUGUAGGUCUGUCGUGAAAUCCCCGGGCUCAACCUGGGAAUUGCGAUGGAGACUGCAAGGCUAGAAUCUGGCAGAGGGGGGUAGAAUUCCACGUGUGAGCAGUGAAAUGCGUAGAGAUGUGGAGGAACACCGAUGGCGAAGGCAGCCCCCUGGGUCAAGAUUGACGCUCAUGCACGAAAGCGUGGGGAGCAAACG